GCCGGGGUGGCGAAACGGCAGACGCACCGCACUCAAAAUGCGGCGGGGGAAACCCCGUGAGGGUUCGAGUCCCUCUCCCGGCA
rnacentral:tRNA from 1 species